rnacentral:lncRNA from 1 species
GUGAAGAUUAGAGGACACACAGAGAGAGAUUAAUUGAUCACUAUUGGCAUUAUUUGAAUCCUAGAUCAAGUCUUGGCGGGGCACAGUGGCUCACACCUGUAAUUCCAGCACUGCACUUUGGGAGACCAAAAUGGAUGAUUCACCAAAGUCUGAGUCUCAAAUACGCAGCUGCAUAUCCAGCGGAGAUUUCUACCCACCCCAUCAUCUGGACCCAUGGACUUGAGCAGGGUCAUAAAUGCAUGUUUUGCUAAGGCAAUAAUGUCAGCUGGGCCCACAAUUUUGCUUCAUUUUUUUUCUAUUAUUCAGAAAUUAUAAGAAAUAUUUUGGGAAUGCAUAAAACACUUUAAGCAUUUUUCCACAAGAAUAUAGACGACCCUUGAAAAAUGCAGGGUUAGAAGUGCCAA